GGCUCAGGACGAACGCUGGCGGCGUGCCUAAUACAUGCAAGUCGAACGGUCUUUUCUAUGGAAGCUUGCUUCCACUGAGAAGAUAGUGGCGAACGGGUGAGUAACACGUGGGUAACCUGCCCAUAAGAGGGGGAUAACAUCCGGAAACGGGUGCUAAUACCGCAUAGUUUUCUUGAUCGCAUGAUUGAGAAAGGAAAGACGGCCUUUGUGCUGUCGCUUAUGGAUGGACCCGCGGCGUAUUAGUUAGUUGGUGAGGUAACGGCUCACCAAGACGAUGAUACGUAGCCGACCUGAGAGGGUGAUCGGCCACAUUGGGACUGAGACACGGCCCAAACUCCUACGGGAGGCAGCAGUAGGGAAUCUUCCGCAAUGGACGAAAGUCUGACGGAGCAACGCCGCGUGAGUGAAGAAAGGUUUUCGGAUCGUAAAACUCUGCUGUCAGAGAAGAACAAGUUGGAGGGUAACUGCUCCAGCCUUGACGGUAUCUGACCAGAAAGCCACGGCUAACUACGUGCCAGCAGCCGC
rnacentral:rRNA from 1 species